rnacentral:rRNA from 1 species
UACGUAGGGGGCGAGCGUUGUCCGGAUUUAUUGGGCGUAAAGAGCGUGUAGGCGGUUCGGUAAGUCUGUCGUGAAAUCCUGAGGCUCAACCUCGGAACUGCCUUCGAUACUGCGGGUCUCGAGUCCGGGAGAGGUGAGUGGAAUUCCUAGUGUAGAGGUGAAAUUCGUAGAUAUUAGGAAGAACACCCGUGGCGAAGGCGGCUCUCUGGGACGGUACUGACGCUGAGACGCGAAAGCGUGGGGAGCGAACAGG